AAUAGAUACCCGGGUAGUCCACGCUGUAAACGAUGGAUACUAGGUGUGGGAGGUAUCGACCCCUUCCGUGCCGCAGUUAACACAAUAAGUAUCCCACCUGGGGAGUACGGCCGCAAGGUUGAAACUCAAAGGAAUUGACGGGGGCCCGCACAAGCAGUGGAGUAUGUGGUUUAAUUCGAAGCAACGCGAAGAACCUUACCAGGGCUUGACAUACCUCUGACGUAGGUAGAGAUAUCUAUUCCCUUCGGGGCAGAGGAUACAGGUGGUGCAUGGUUGUCGUCAGCUCGUGUCGUGAGAUGUUGGGUUAAGUCCCGCAACGAGCGCAACCCUGUUGCUAGUUGCCAUCAUUAAGUUGGGCACUCUAGCGAGACUGCCGGUGACAAAUCGGAGGAAGGUGGGGACGACGUCAAAUCAUCAUGCCCCUUAUGUCCUGGGCUACACACGUACUACAAUGGCUAUUACAACAGGAAGCGAAACCGCAAGGUGGAGCAAAUCCCCAAAAAUAGUCCCAGUUCAGAUUGUGGGCUGCAACUCGCCCACA
rnacentral:rRNA from 1 species